GNANNUUCCNCAUGNACGAAGUCUGACGGACAACGCCGUGUGAGUGAUGAAGGCUUUCGGGUCGUAAAACUCUGUUGUAGGGAAGAACAAGUGCUAGUUGAAUAAGCUGGCACCUUGACGGUACCUAACCAGAAAGCCACGGCUAACUACGUGCCAGCAGCCGCGGUAAUACGUAGGUGGCAAGCGUUAUCCGGAAUUAUUGGGCGUAAAGCGCGCGCAGGUGGUUUCUUAAGUCUGAUGUGAAAGCCCACGGCUCAACCGUGGAGGGUCAUUGGAAACUGGGAGACUUGAGUGCAGAAGAGGAAAGUGGAAUUCCAUGUGUAGCCGGUGAAAUGCGUAGAGAUAUGGAGGAACACCAGUGGCGAAGGCGACUUUCUGGUCUGUACUGACACUGAGGCGCGAAAAGCGUGGGGAGCAAACAGGAUUAGAUACCCUGGUAGUCCACGCCGUUAAACGAUGAGUGCUAAGUGUUAGAGGUUUCCGCCCUUUAGUGCUGAAGUUAACNGCAUUAAGCACUCCGCCUGGGGAGUACGGCCGCAAGGCUGAAACUCAAAGGAAUUGACGGGGGCCCGCACAAGCGGUGGAGCAUGUGGUUUAAUUNGAAGCAACGCGAAGAACCUUACCAGGUNUUUACAUCCUNUCGNNANCUNAUAAAACUGCNUNAGUCGUGAGACGUC
rnacentral:rRNA from 1 species